GUGGCUGUGGGUGGCACCGGCUCCCCCGCGCAGGGCCGCGGCUCGGUGUCGGGCGGGAGGAGAGCCGGGAGCAGCCUGGCCAGCCCGGGCGCGGGGCCAUUCGGUAAUUCAUAACGUCAGGUCCCAGGUGGGUCAAAGACAACAACAUCUGGAAAAAGAGAGCAGCGAGCCAGGUGUCCAUGGCCUGGAGCAUUAUGCAGCCCCCUGGCAUGCUCUGGUGCCUUGUGUGCAGGUGUACCAGCUGCCAGGAGUCUGUCUCAGUACCAAGAGAGCCUCCAAAACAAAACACAUCUCUGAUGGAUCUUCAAAACGCCUAUGUGUUCGCUGUGCCAAUGCGCGCGCUUCGGUCACUAGAUGGCAAUAAAGACCCAACGUGCUCUUCCCUGGGCAGCAGGGGAGGAUCGUAGAGCUCGGCCUGGAUUUCCCCAGGAGAUGGAACUGGAAGAUACUAGAGAAGCCAAGAACGAAGUGCAGAGGUGAUCCACAGUCAGAGGUUUGUUCCAGCUAUUGGGGAAAGGGUUCAUCGUUCAUCUGUGUGUUAAAAUUUUGCAUGUCCUGAAGUUCUGGGUGCAAAGAACUUCCCAAGGAAAUAGAGUGGGAAAGAAAUCUAUGCCUGCAGAAGCCAUGAAGGUGAGCUGUCAGAGCAACCUCUGCCCUUGGACAUCCAGCCUGUUCCAUCAUGUCCCCGUAUUUCCAUUAUUUUCACAGCAAAGCCACCUCCAGGGCUGUGGAGAGACCCGUGUCAGCCUGGAGGCUGCAGUGCUGGGAUUCCUGGCCGCUCCAGGAAGCUGCUGAAUUCCAAUAUGUUCUCCCAUAUGUUUUAACACUUUUGCAUUUCUUCCAUCUGUUUAUGGGAAAUUUGAAGGAAUUUAAUGGUCUUUUCUAGGGUUAUUAAACCAACAGCUGUUGUCACUAAUAGAGGACAUACUUUAUGGCAGUGUGCAGAUUCCAGUGAUAAAUCCAGCCCUACCACCCUAUAUUUCUUUUUAUGAAUGCAGCAUUUUUAUUGAAACUGAGGUUAUGAAUACAGGCAGUUCUUAAACUAUUAUUUUAUGAUAUAGCUGUGGCAUAAAAAUAGGAAUUUUUUUCUUCUCCUCUGUUUCCUGAGUGCUUUUACUAUGAAAUACAUUUUAUGCUGGGUAAGACAGAAAUAUUUUUUGUUCCCAUUUUCCUUCCUUCUCCUGUUUUUGUUCUCCCUGACAAAAAGCAAACUGAAAAACUGAGAAAAAGAUGCUCAGAAGAAUGGAAUACAUCACAAUUGAAUAACCAUUUUUGGUGAUGCAGAAUGCAAUUACCCUCCAGUACACUAAACUGAUGGUGACUUUUGCUGUAUUUGGGUAGUUUUUGCUUUCUGUUUGUCUUACUAUCCUGAAGACUGUAAAUAUCUGCUUGGAUAUAUGUUAUGUCUAAUUACACACUAUCCUGUUUUUCAAAACUGUCACUUUAUUCUCCAUAGUGAAGAGCUUUUUUAACUACAUCACUCUGGUUUUUUCCUAUUUUUUAAAUGGUAACAUAACCCAAAACAAUAAUUACAGUUUUGAGCUCAGUGAAAUACCUGAUGUAAGGUAAUUAUAUUUUAUGUACUUGCAUAGUGGUCCCAUAUCUAAUGAUUUCAAUAUCUUUUCCUGAAUAUUUACUGUUCCCUUGGAGGCUUUCAGAGCCUCUGGUAUCUGUGAGUGGCAAGGCACCAAGGACAACAUAGUGGGACCGUAGUAGAUUCCUCUGUCUCAUGGUUUAAUGUGUUGUAAUGAAAGCAAAUAACAGCAGAAAAACAGUCCGCUAACAUCACUCUCAAAGUAUUUGAGGUACUUUAGCCAUUGUUGAAGUUGUAUAUAAACUGCCAGGAGUCUUCUGAUGGAUAUCACUUAGGAGUAAUCACUGUAUUUGUGUCAUUAAAAAACAAAGCACAAGACAAAAUAGUUUUUCAUCUUUACUGAAACGCAUUUUAAAAUUAAUUGGUUUACUGGCUUGAAAGCUUCAUAAAUUGGAUUAGAAUCCCAUAUAUAUAUAUGUAUACUGGCUACAGGUAAUAAUGGGUGAUCUGGCCUGUUUGUUAUCUUUUGAUUGAUUUUCUCACCUACAUUUUAAUUAAAAUAAUCCCUGCACUGACAUCAUAAGCAGAGGUGGCCAUAAGCUGAAUGAUUCUCUCUGCCCUGCAAGAAGAUUUGGGCUCAAGUUACCAAGUUAAGAGGGAUUUAUCAAACCUGUACAAAAUGCAUAUAUUGGAGCCUGAAUUAAUUAGCAUGGAAAUGAGUGAGCACAGUUAAAUACAUAUGUCUUGUUAGUAUUCAACAUUGCUACCAUGAGAUGAAAGAAUAGGAAAUGAGAAAGAUGGAAUGAGUGAUAAGAGGAAGCAAAAAACCAGAUGUUCCUUAAUCUGUGGUAGUGAUUCAUGACAGUUUCCUUGUAUCAUAUAUAUGUCCAAGGGCUUCUGUCUAUAUUAGAGGUAAUUAAUAAAUUAUUAUGCAUCUAUCUAAGGGUUUUAUGCUGUCACUUAGCACUGCAAGUAUGUGCCUUCUUUGUGAAAUGGAAGCAAUAACUGAAGUUUAGGGAUCUUCUUACACUUUGUUAAAAAUACUUCUCUUUUUUUGUUUUAUUUUUGUUUGUUUGGUUGGUUGGUUUUGGUUGUUUGUUUUGUUUUUUUUUUUCUCAGCCAAAACUCAGUGUUAAAAGUAGCAAUCCUUUCCCUGAAGGGGAGGGGCUCAUAUAUCAUGAUUGUGAAUAUCCUGUAACUUCAUGGGUAUAUGGAUAAUGAGAUAGACAUACAGUGACACAGAGGGAUGAAUUAAACACUUGACAUUCACCUGUGCAGAGAAGAAUCCUGACCUGGAAUAUCAAAUGGAAAUGAAGUAGAAUUGAGCCCAUGUAAAGUUUCAGCACUGGUGAGCUUUCAAGAGCAAUAUUUACUGCUCUUUUGACAAGCUGGACUUGUAGCCUCAUUCAGUUCAAAGGAGAAGGAAAGCAAAAGGAAAAAUGUCUUUAAAGAGCAGCAGGGACUUUGGAUUAUUUAUUCCUUACAGCAUUUCUUCUCAACCAGAACUUUUCUGUGGUUGCUUCAGGCUGAGUUUUAAAAAUUGGGGUUUUCAACGUUAUUUUCUGCUUCCUAGGGAACUCAAUUGGAAGCAUAUUUUCUGGCAAAAGUGUGAACCUUGGGAAGAUGGUAAGAAAGACGCUUGUUCCCGAGGAAGUAGGGACCCCUCUUCCCUGCUGCUGGUGCCUGUGCCUUCUGCCCCUGGCUGGCAGCAUUCCCUACAGCACCGACAGACUUUGCCAAUGUAGUGGGACUCUGAGUUCUGAUCUCUGCCGGACUGAGGGACAUUAAUUGCCCAAACAGCCCGUGGCCAAGAGCUCCUCCUUGUAGUCAGGCAAGUGCCUGGUGCUCCUGCCCUUCCCCAACAUUUUCAUAGUCCUUCCCUCUUUUAAAGUGAGUUUUAAUCCCCAGCAUUGUCACGUUUGUGAGGAAAAGUUGCAUAAGAUUAACUGCAUUUCAGGAAUGGAGGAUCCACCCUGAAAGGGAAGACUGCCUUUGAAAUACAUCUGGUCUUGGUAAUGUUUUCAGAGUAGCGCUUACAGCAUUUUCACUAUCGAGGUGACAGUGAUUGAAAGAUAGAUUACUGCAACUUUGGCAUUUAUAUUUUGACUGAGAAAAGGUCAAAAUAUAGUCACUUCUUCAUGGAGUCUUUUUUAGAGUGGUGGAAUGGCAUGGAAAAGUCACAUUGUCUUUCUGAUAGUGUCACCAGUGUUUUGAUUACCGCAAGUUUAACCUGCAUUGUCGAAUGAAACACAAAUCGCUUCAGAAGAAACUAGUCUAAAGUGCCGGAGAUCAGCAGAAAGAUUUUCCUUGAUUUCACUAGUUCUGGGAUCUAGUCUAAUUGAAACAUCAAGAAAAGGAUAAAUUGUUGCAAUUAUUAAGAAACAUACUGGGAAAGGAUCACUAUAAACUUACUACAGCUGUGUCGCUUUCUGUUGUGUAUCAUGUAAGCAUCUGCUUUGCCGAGCUGCUUGUCAUGAGGUUUUUCUGCUUGACUGUCUUGGGAAUCAGCAGAAUGAGCGGGUAAGUGCAGAUUUGCAGGUCAUCACUAGAUCAAAAGGACUUUGAGUUACUAUUCCCUUUGAACUGAAAGGUCUGAGACUUCCUGCUCUUUUACACUGUAGCAGGUCUAUUAACGCUUGACUUCUGUACCUCAAACAUUAUCAGAAUGAUAAAUUCCUUGACAGCUGCUUGCUCAAAUUUUUAACCAUCGUGUUCUAGAGAGUUGUUGAGAGGUACUUGAUGUAGACUGUAUAAUGUAUAAUGCCUCUUGCUGCAGGUGAGCAGGAUUGUUCUGUUAUUUUCAUUUGAAUAAAAUGCGGCGGUCCUGUUGGAAUCAUUUGCAUAGACAAGGCUUGAACUGGAGUUAAGAUCCCGAGGUCUGAUUUGAGUUGCUCUGAAUUUGAGUCUGUUCAUAGAGCAGAAGCUUGCUUCUUCGAUUGAGAUGAUGCUUCUGACUUUCUAGAAGCCAUUUUCUUGUAUGAAUGCUUAGCUGUAAUUUAAGACAUGCAUUUGUUUUCAGUAGUAGUGUGAGUGACUUGGAGCAUAAUCCUGACAGAGUUUGAUGUUUAACACGUCUAAAUGCCUCUGAAAAGAGCCCUAUAAUGUUAAUGUUCACUGCUUUUCCCCUCUUGUUACCUCUUUACCUGAUCUCCUUAGUCUGACCUUCCUUAGACUAAAUUGUUCUCUCACCUGUUUUUCCCAAGCAAUUUUGAGACCACAGAUCAUUGCCCUCUGCAUUCUCUCCAGUUGAUAUUUUGCAGCAACAUCAUGAGUGGAUUCACAUUCCAUCUAUAAUUCACGAUGAUCAUAGAUUCCUUCCACUAGGAUGCUGCACUGGCAUGUUUCUUACCCAGUGUGUUUGUCCAGCCUGUUAUUCUUGCCUUUUCCCUAUUGACUGACUGAGGGCAGCAGGGGGAGCAGAAGAAGCCUUGGUGCUGUGCCUCAGUGUUCAGAAAUAGUUGAGAUGCCCCUGUGCUAUGAGUGCUGCUUUGGCCACAAUUCUAGCACAGCGCCAUUUGUGUUUAGGGUGUCACUUUUCCAUGUCCUAAGAGGAUCCAGAGUGAAUAAUGGACAAGACUUUCUGUGUCUCUUGUAUGCUUCUGCCUGUGACACACUUACCGUGUUAAGCAUUGCAGGUAAUGAAAAGACAUGAAUAUGGUUACAGAGGUGUGAUGUUCCCAGACACCCUGCUUGUACCACGCAGGAUGAUGUGACCUCCUGCCUCUUCCUCCUUGUGAACCUCCCUCCUCAGAGGAGGAAGAGGGCUGUUCCCAAAAUAGCAGUGGCUGAACAAGAGAGUGGCUUUGAUUUGUGAUCCUGAAAAGCAAAGAAAUACUGGGCAGGGUGUCCUUUGUGUUCAGCAUAAAUGUGCUUGCCAAAGAAUUGCUUUCAAGGCUGAACUGUUAGCUGAGGAUUUAUCUGCAGCACUGUCAUACAGAUGUGUUGAAGUUUAAAGCCAGGUAUUGCCAGUAUUAUCUCAGCACAGGAAAAAUAGGUAAUUCACAGGGUAUUUGGCAAAUGGUUUGCCACAUGAAGUUUCCCAUAUCUGUAUAAACACAGCUGACAACAUCUAAGAACUAGUUUUAGAGGGCAAGACACAGUUGCUCUAGUAAACACAGCUGUUGGAGCACAUGGCUUGGCUUUAAUUAAACUGUUCCUGAGCACAGGGACUGGGAGAAGGCAGCCCAUGAGUGUUGGUCGCACAGGGGUAAGAGUAUUUUCUAGAGGUUUUUUUCCUUCCACCAGGGACUCUGUUCUGCUGAUGGAUAUAAUAUUCUAGAUAUGGGCCACUGCUCUUCAGAUGGCAGAAAGGUGUGUGUAAAUGUCACAUCUGAACAUCUGAAACAGCAAUUCCACCAGCAUUCUUUAGUUUACCAAGUAUGUAUGUAAAGAGGCAAUGUUUCCUGAUCUCUUUUUUAUGCUUGGUUUUGUUCUAGAAGGGUUAGGGAAGCUAAUUAGUUUUCCCAUCCCUCUGAUCCUGCUCAUGAAAAGAGGAGAACAGAACCAUGGUGUGAUGUGCCUUGGGGCAAGGAUUCAGCAGUAUUUUGGUAGGCUGCAGAACCCCAUUUUUCAGUGCAGGAAUAGGAGUAAUCAGGAACUCUGAUUACUCUUGGGUAAAGGGCAAGAAGACACAGAAACUAAGACACAGCUGAUUUGAUAAAUUUUACAAUUUACUGCAAACAUUAAUAUCCAAGACAAAUUCAGAUACUUUUUGCUUAUGCUGAGAGCACCCUCAGAUCACCAGUCAGUGUUCUGAACAGAAAUCCAUGGAAAGGAUGGAGCCACCUCAGCACUUCUCCACACCCCCAUGGAGGGCUCUUCUCUGAGCACACUGCAGCCUGCAGCUGGUGAUGUGGCUUGUAUUGUCUAAAAAGAAAUGUGAACACCAGCAUCUCCUGCUUACAAAGACGUGCCAGUUGAAGACAAGCUUUGCUCUUUCCUUAACAUGUCUUCAGUCACAGACAAGAUGCUGUUUUAGUGACAUCACCAGGACACAAGCAGUGUCAUGCUUGUGGGUUGUCUUUGCUCCAGCUGCACACUGUGACUCAAGACCAUUAAACCAGGGAGGAAGAUGUUAAUCAUCACAGGAAUUUUUGUGAUUUUAUUCCCCAAGGCUUUAAAGGGUAGCAGGAAAAUUGGAAUUUCAGAACCACUCAAAGCCCAGCUAAGCACAAAGUCACACCAUCAAAUUUUCAAGUCAAUUAACACAGUAGGAGGGAAUUGUGCACUAAUGAAAGUGUCUCUUGUUUAAACACCUCAGUGAAAACUGGGCUCUGAAACUGAGCCUGAACUUUUACUUUGCCCCCAUUUACUGGCUCUCCACAAGUCACACUUCAUACUUACACAAAUAUUUUUUGACAUUUUAGUAAUGGAGUAAUAUCUAUGGAGUGAUGUCUACCUAAAGCAACUAGUUGAAUAAUUUUCCAGAUGACAUUUAACACUUUACGAGAGUGACUCCAAGUGCAGCCAGAGUGGCUGGGCUCUGGUGACAUACCAGGGAGGAAGGGCAUUAUGCAUCAGCUCAUUCACUACAGUCUGUGCACCUUUCUCACACUGUCUUACCCAGAGACAUUGCAGACAACAAAUACUCAGACUAUUUGUUUAUUUCCCUACAGACAAAGAAUUUACUAUUGAUGAAAUUCAAAGAAAACACAACUGACCAAAAAUACUAACUUGUUUCCAAACUCAGGAAAACUUGUUACAGGGCCCAGUUUCUGGGAUGGAACCAGUACUUCAGAAGUUGUAUGGAGUGACAUGGAAAUGAGCAUCUUGGCCAAGCCCAGUGAGGUAAUUUGACUUACAUUGUUUUCAUUGGUCUUUGAGUCACAUUUUAAAAUUUUGAGGAAUAAACGUUGGCUCUGUCUGUUGCUUCCCACUGGCCACUUGGCUGAUCCUUGGAUCUGAUCCUCAUUUGUAUGAGCUAAUAUCUAUCUCUUGCUGAACUCAGCAGAGCCUGCAGAUGGUCUAAGUCUUUGCAUUUGAACAAUUAUAUCAAAGCAUGACACUUUCUUCUGAGACUGGUUUUGCAGGGAA